rnacentral:rRNA from 1 species
GAUGAACGCUAGCGACAGGCCUAACACAUGCAAGUCGAGGGGCAGCGGGGAUGAAGCUUGCUUCAUCUGCCGGCGACCGGCGCACGGGUGAGUAACACGUAUGCAACCUGCCCAUUGCAGGGGGAUAAGCAGAAGAAAUUCUGUCUAAUACCGCGUAAUAUGAGAUUGAGGCAUCUCGGUUUCAUUAAAGAUUUAUCGGCAAUGGAUGGGCAUGCGGCGCAUUAGCUAGUUGGCGGGGUAACGGCCCACCAAGGCGACGAUGCGUAGGGGUUCUGAGAGGAAGGUCCCCCACACUGGUACUGAGACACGGACCAGACUCCUACGGGAGGCAGCAGUGAGGAAUAUUGGUCAAUGGGCGAGAGCCUGAACCAGCCAAGUCGCGUGAGGGAAGACGGUCCUAUGGAUUGUAAACCUCUUUUGUCGGGGAGCAAGGGCUCUACGUGUAGAGUGGUGAGAGUACCCGAGAAAAAGCAUCGG